ACGAUCGUAAGGGAUAUCGUUAAAAUAAUAUCGAUCGAGAAUAGCGAAAUUAAUGUCGGAGAUAAAUUCGCGUAUACGUUAUAAAGAUACGGGUUUAGAGAGGUUAUGGAGGUAGAGGAAAAAAAACAGAGAAGGAUAGAUAUAGGAAAGGACGUGUAGAAAGAGAGACGGGACGGACGGACGGGUGUGUCGAAGCUUUGCGUCGCGUAGAGCGCGACGUGGGGUGAGGCGGGACUCCUCUGCUUCCACCAGAUAAAAAUAGAUAUUACGAGUUUACCGCGGCGCCAAGAUUGCGGGGUAUCGCGACGAUUACGUCAUCGGUAGUAGCGCGAGUGGUUGGAGCAAGGACGCCUGUCGCGUCGUCGUCGUCGUCGUCGUCUUCGUCGUCUUCGUCGUCUUCGUCGUCUUCGUCGUCUUCGUCGUCUUCGUCGUCUUUGUCGUUGUCUUCGUCUUCAUCGUCUUCAUCGUCUUCGUUGUUUUUAUCAUCGUCGUCGUCGACAUCGGUUUCGUCGAUUAGAAUAUGUCCGACGUAUCAUCUAAGCCGCCAUUUUGGAACAUUCGAAAAUUUCGACGUAACGUUUCGAAGAAGUACGUUAUUGCAACGACGAAAGACGAAUUUUCUUGUAAGAUCUCCGGUGGUUUGGUCUUUGACCAGAGAUAUGAAGAAUUUUUCUCGACUCGCGGAGUCGAUAAAAUAUAUACAUAAGCGAGCAGCAUUUUCGAAGACAGUAACUUGGGCUCUAACGUAAGAGUAUAUUUAUUCGUUUGUCGUCGUGUAAGUUGGUGUUAAGUACGUAUACAUAUAAGCGUAUGUACAUAUAUAUGUAUAUAGAAGAUGUUCGUAAAGAGUUCCGUGAUUCUAACGAAAAGAUCAUGGACACACAUCGAAUUGCUCGCAACGCCUCGAAGAUCUCAAGAAGUCGACCUUUCCUGUCGCAUACCAAUCGGCACGCAGCGAUACGGCAAGGUGUAUCUACGCGAACUGUGUGCGUUCAUGUGCGUGUGUGUAAACACGAAUGGAAGAGAAAAAAAUAACGUGUUCCGAGAGACACGCGACAGUGCCGGCUAAAGCAUCUGUAGUCUCGUUUGGAAUGCGAUAUGAUCGUCGAGCGUCGUCUCGUCGAGCUCGAGGAUAACGAAUAUAUUUAUGUAUGUAUGUACGACAUAUGUAUGUAUGAUGUGUAUAUAUAUAUAUGUAUAUAUAAUGGUAUGCGUACGUAUAUAUCUUUUUUCUUUUUUAUUCUUUUCAUACUUUUUUUUCCGAAGCGUGACGACCGACAAUCGAUUAAUUACGCGGACCUUCGGAGAUCUCGCGUGUCAAAGCUUCUUUCGUCGUAUAGGCGAGCGUAAAAGUCGUAAAUUUGAGGUUAUCGGAUUAGAUGGCUUCUCUUUCGAUCUUAUACGUCACGCACGCCCUCUGCAACUAAAUAUGGAGGAGAAAACUGAGAAGUAGCGCGCGAAUAAAUUUGAAUGAAUGAAGUUGAGAGAAAGAACUCGAAGACGAAACGAAACGAGAUUAUACGAGAAAAAAAAAAUACAUAAAAAGAGAAAACUGUAAGUCUGAGUUGGACGAAGUCGUCCGAUCGAUUAAAUAUCGUCGACGAUAUUAUUAUAUAUUUUCCAUAUAACCUUUCGAUAAUUCGAAUUGAGACAAGUGUAGCAAGUCUUUCAAUUACGUCCUCUCAAUCGAAAAAGACGGAUCUAUGAAGAGGACACGAAUUUUUGUCAGUAGCAACGUGUGUGUUCGAAGGGGAUGGGAAAAGAGAGUGAGAGAAACAAAGAUAGAUAGAAAGAAAGAAAGGGAAAGAGAGAACACGCGUUCUCGUCGAUCUUAUCCCGUCCGUACGUAUAUUGAGAACAAAGGACGAUUGUGGACGAGGCUUUAAGGAUAUCGACGAGGAGAGAAAGAGACUCGGGCGGAGUAGUAGCAUUGGAGAGAAUAAGUGAGUGACUGAGUGAGUGAAAAAGAGAAAGAGAGAGAGAGAGAGAGAAAGAGAGAGAGAGAGGACGAAACGCAAAGCGUCGCGCGAGUGCCAAUGUGUUUUCCCAGUUGGGUCAAACACCCUGAAGCUCUCUCAGAUAAGGUUCCCAACCUUGGCACGGCCAAGCAAAGUAGUAACUGCGUAACCGUAGGUGCCGCACUUACGACACGGCGUGUUGUUGCGGCCGUCGGCGAGUCGUUCGCACACGACUACGCAAGAAUCGUGCGUGCUGCGAGCCAUUAAACGCGUCUCUCUCUUAAACGUACACGACGUAUCGGAUAAAAAAGAGAGAGAGAGAGAGCACAUCGAAGUUGACGAUGUCUUCUCUCGUCAAACUUAAAUCAACCUCUUUCCUCUCAUACCCAUCUUAACCUAAUCCGAAAUAAAGAAAUAAUAAUAAAAGCGAUAUUAAAAUUGGCGCCAUUUGAAAGUUUCUCGGGCGCGGGUAAAGAUAAAACGCUUAAAAGAAUUCUUACCUCGUGUACCACCCACGAAGCGUAUUCUAUCGACCGAAGCAUCGUUAAUUACCGUGGCAGGUAAUAAACACGCUUGGACGUGACACGAGCGAUGAGAGAGAAAGAGAGAGAGAGAGAGAGAGAGAGAGAGAGAGAGAGAGAGAGAAAGAGAGAAAGAGAGAGCAAUCAUGUCCGCGCGCGCGCGCGCGCGUGCGAGAGGCCGCACGCGGGAAAUGCAACGGAGCCGGCUACUAUUAUACGGUAAAGGUGGAAAAGGCAGUGGCCGGUGCAGCAUCGCAUAUAUAUGUUAUGUAUGUAUAUAUACUAUGUGUACAUAAUUAUGUGUAUAUAUAUGUAUAUGUAUAUAUAUCAUCAAACUCGUUCAUACAUAUAUGUAUGUAUCAUUAUAUACAAACACAUAACACAUUACACACAUAACACGUUAUACACGUGUGUAUGUAUAUAUGCACACAUAUAUGAGAUAUGCAUAUAUAUAUAUCUCAGUGUUCAGACGUGACCCUUGUCCUUCAAACGGCCUUUCUACGAGCGUACGGCAGCUCGACUGGGUGUAGGUACGCCAUACGUGUCGCAUACCUAACGAACGCGCGUACCAUGCGACGAGAAAGCCGGCCACCGACGCACCCGUCGUCGUCGCCGACGGUAACGACGACGACGACGACGACGACGUCGCCGUCGUUUCGACGUACAUGUCGUUUAUUCUAUAUACAUACAUACGUUGUUCACCUACGUACGUAUAUACGUAUGUAUGCGACGAGCACCCGAGCGCAACGACCGGCUGCCGGUUCGACAUAACCUACGAUUCUUCUAUACCAGUAGCGUAAUCAUCCAACCUCGAACCCAUGCCUUUAUUUUUUUUCAAUAAAUAUAUAUAUAUAUAUAUUCAUUUAAAA